rnacentral:rRNA from 1 species
CUAGAUACAAGCCCUGGAAACGGGGUCUCAUACCGGAUAUGACUCCGCAUCGCAUGGUGUGGGGUGGAAAGCCUUGUGCGGCUGAGGAUGGGCCCGCGGCCUAUCAGCUUGUUGGUGGGGUAGUGGCCUACCAAGGCGACGACGGGUAGCCGGCCUGAGAGGGCGACCGGCCACACUGGGACUGAGACACGGCCCAGACUCCUACGGGAGGCAGCAGUGGGGAAUAUUGCGCAAUGGGCGAAAGCCUGACGCAGCGACGCCGCGUGAGGGAUGACGGCCUUCGGGUUGUAAACCUCUUUCAGCUCCGACGAAGCCUUCGGGUGACGGUAGGGGCAGAAGAAGCACCGGCCAACUACGUGCCAGCAGCCGCGGUAAUACGUAGGGUGCAGGCGUUGUCCGGAAUUAUUGGGCGUAAAGAGCUCGUAGGCGGUUUGUCGCGUCGACUGUGAAAACUCAGGGGCUCAACUCCGAGCUUGCAGUUGAUACGGGCAGACUAGAGUUCGGCAGGGGAGACUGGAAUUCCUGGUGUAGCGGUGAAAUGCGCAGAUAUCAGGAGGAACACCGGUGGCGAAGGCGGGUCUCUGGGCCGAUACUGACGCUGAGGAGCGAAAGCGUGGGGAGCGAACAG